UAGGGAAUCUUCGGCAAUGGGGGCAACCCUGACCGAGCAACGCCGCGUGAGUGAAGAAGGUUUUCGGAUCGUAAAGCUCUGUUGUAAGAGAAGAACGUGUGUGAGAGUGGAAAGUUCACACAGUGACGGUAACUUACCAGAAAGGGACGGCUAACUACGUGCCAGCAGCCGCGGUAAUACGUAGGUCCCGAGCGUUGUCCGGAUUUAUUGGGCGUAAAGCGAGCGCAGGCGGUUUAAUAAGUCUGAAGUUAAAGGCAGUGGCUUAACCAUUGUUCGCUUUGGAAACUGUUAAACUUGAGUGCAGAAGGGGAGGGUGGAAUUCCAUGUGUAGCGGUGAAAUGCGUAGAUAUAUGGAGGAACACCGGUGGCGAAAGCGGCUCUCUGGUCUGUAACUGACGCUGAGGCUCGAAAGCGUGGGGAGCAAACAGG
rnacentral:rRNA from 1 species